rnacentral:rRNA from 1 species
UUCGGGACGCCUAGAGUGGCGAACGGGUGAGUAACACGUAGGUGAUCUGCCCUUGAGUUGGGGAUAGCCCAUGGAAACAUGGGGUAAUACCGAAUACGCUCCGGAUGCUGUGGCAACCGGAGGAAAAGCGCUUCGGCGCUGCUCGAGGAUGAGCCUGCGGCUGAUUAGCUAGUUGGUAGGGUAACGGCCUACCAAGGCGACGAUCAGUAGCCGGCCUGAGAGGGUGAGCGGCCACACUGGGACUGAGAUACGGCCCAGACUCCUACGGGAGGCAGCAGCUAAGAAUCUUCUGCAAUGGGGGAAACCCUGACAGAGCGACGCCGCGUGGGUGAUGAAGGCCGGAAGGUUGUAAAGCCCUUUUCUAUUCGAGGAAUAACCGCCUGAGGCAAUGCAGGCGGGAUGACGGUAGGGUAGGAAUAAGCCCCGGCCAAUUACGUGCCAGCAGCCGCGGUAACACGUAUGGGGCGAGCGUAGUUCGGAAUCAUUGGGCGUAAAGGGCGCGUAGGCGGAUAUGCAAGCUUGGUGUGAAAGACCGCAGCUCAACUGCGGGAGCGCGCUGAGAACUGUGUAUCUAGAGUUCAAGAGGGGAAGCUGGAAUUCCUGGUGUAGGAGUGAAAUCUGUAGAGAUCAGGAAGAACAUCAGUGGCGAAGGCGAGCUUCUGGCUAUGAACUGACGCUGAGGCGCGAAAGCGUGGGGAGCGAACAGGAUUAGAUACCCUGGUAGUCCACGCCGUAAACGAUGUGCACUAGGUGUUGGGUCGCUGAAGGCUCAGUGCCGUAGCUAACGCGUUAAGUGCACCGCCUGGGGAGUAUGCUCGCAAGGGUGAAACUCAAAGGAAUUGACGGGGGCCCGCACAAGCGGUGGAGCAUGUGGUUUAAUUCGAUGAUACGCGAGGAACCUUACCAGGGCUUGACAUAUGCCGGAAUGUGCAUGAGAGUGCGCAGCCCUUCGGGGCCGGUAUACAGGUGCUGCAUGGCCGUCGUCAGCUCGUGCCGUGAGGUGUUGGGUUAAGUCCCGCAACGAGCGCAACCCCUAUUGUCUGUUGCCAGCAUUUCGGAUGGGGACUCAGACAAGACUGCCGGUGACAAACCGGAGGAAGGUGGGGACGACGUCAGGUCAUCAUGGCCCUUAUGUCCUGGGCUACACACGUG